rnacentral:lncRNA from 1 species
GUGGUGAGAAUGACGAUGAGCUUUCAAUCGGUGAAGGUUCAUGGCGGCGACGUCCCGCAGUUGUAGAAGAUGAGCCCCUAACCCUUUUCCUCUUGGAAGAAUCCACCAUUUCAAAUUUCAAUCGGUGCAAAUUAAAGAGAAUGGAGAGGAGAAUGUGAAAAUGUUGUUUAGAAGUGAAAAGAGUAGGAAAAGAUGGGAUUUUGAAGCUUUUUUAGGUGCUUUAAUGGAGGUUUGGGGCGUUGUUGUGCGAGGGGGAGUUUGGGUGUGCAUUAUGAGAGAGAAAAAGUUGAAUUUAUAGCAUAGGGUUUCGCUGGUAAUCGAUUACAGGAUUGUUGUAAUCAAUUACCAGUGGCCUCUAGUAAUCGAUUACAGGGUAAG